rnacentral:rRNA from 1 species
UACGAAGGGGGCUAGCGUUGCUCGGAAUCACUGGGCGUAAAGCGCACGUAGGCGGACUCUUAAGUCGGAGGUGAAAUCCUGGAGCUCAACUCCAGAACUGCCUUCGAUACUGGAAAGCUCGAGUCCGGGAGAGGUGAGUGGAACUGCGGGUGUAGAGGUGAAAUUCGUAGAUAUUCGCAAGAACACCAGUGGCGAAGGCGGCUCACUGGCCCGGUACUGACGCUGAGGUGCGAAAGCGUGGGGAGCAAACAGG